rnacentral:rRNA from 1 species
CGCCUUCUGAUAAAUAAAUAUAAAAGGUCCUGCCUGCCCAGUGAUAAUUAUUCAACGGCCGCGGUAUUAUGACCGUGCAAAGGUAGCAUAAUCACUUGUCUUUUAAAUUAAGACCAGCAUGAAUGGCAAGACGAAAGCCUAACUGUCUCCUUAAGUUAAUCAAUGAAAUUGAUCUUCUCGUGCAGAAGCGAGAAUAUAUAUAUAAGACGAGAAGACCCUGUGGAGUUUUAAAAUAAUAUUAUAUAAAUAUCUUAUAAUAAUGUGAUUUUUAGGUUGGGGCGACCAUGAGGUAAAAAAAACCCCUCAAGAUAAUAAUUAGAAGGACACUUCAAAUAAAAAGUAACACUUAUGCAUGACCCAAAGAUGAUCAACGAACCAAGUUACCCCAGGGAUAACAGCGCAAUCCAUUUCUAAAGUUCAUAUUAACAAAUGGGUUUACGACCUCGAUGUUGGAUCAGGACACCCAAAUGGUGCAACAGCUAUUAAAGGUUCGUUUGCUCAAUG